CGUAUCACCCAAGACAACUUUACGGAGUUGACGAUUGACGGAGCGAAGCGACGUCAAAGCGUUCAUUAAAGUCGAGUUGGCUUAGGGAUACGUUCGUUGGGUAGGGGAGCGUUCUGUAAGCCUGUGAAGGUGUGUCGUGAGGCAUGCUGGAGGUAUCAGAAGUGCGAAUGCUGACAUAAGUAACGAUAAAGCGGGUGAAAAGCCCGCUCGCCGGAAGACCAAGGGUUCCUGUCCAACGUUAAUCGGGGCAGGGUGAGUCGACCCCUAAGGCGAGGCCGAAAGGCGUAGUCGAUGGGAAACGGGUUAAUAUUCCCGUACUUGGUGUUACUGCGAAGGGGGGACGGAGAAGGCUAUGUUGGCCGGGCGACGGUUGUCCCGGUUUAAGGGUGUAGGUGUGUGUUCCAGGUAAAUCCGGUUCACUUUAACACUGAGGCGUGACGACGAGGCACUACGGUGCUGAAGCAACAAAUGCCCUGCUUCCAGGAAAAGCCUCUAAGCAUCAGGUAACACGAAAUCGUACCCCAAACCGACACAGGUGGUCAGGUAGAGAAUACCAAGGCGCUUGAGAGAACUCGGGUGAAGGAACUAGGCAAAAUGGUGCCGUAACUUCGGGAGAAGGCACGCUGACACGUAGGUGAAGUGAUUUACUCAUGGAGCUGAAGUCAGUCGAAGAUACCAGCUGGCUGCAACUGUUUAUUAAAAACACAGCACUGUGCAAACACGAGAGUGGACGUAUACGGUGUGACGCCUGCCCGGUGCCGGAAGGUUAAUUGAUGGGGUCAGCGUAAGCGAAGCUCCUGAUCGAAGCCCCGGUAAACGGCGGCCGUAACUAUAACGGUCCUAAGGUAGCGAAAUUCCUUGUCGGGUAAGUUCCGACCUGCACGAAUGGCGUAAUGAUGGCCAGGCUGUCUCCACCCGAGACUCAGUGAAAUUGAACUCGCUGUGAAGAUGCAGUGUACCCGCGGCAAGACGGAAAGACCCCGUGAACCUUUACUAUAGCUUGACACUGAACAUUGAGCCUUGAUGUGUAGGAUAGGUGGGAGGCUUUGAAGUGUGGACGCCAGUCUGCAUGGAGCCGACCUUGAAAUACCACCCUUUAAUGUUUGAUGUUCUAACGUGGACCCGUAAUCCGGGUUGCGGACAGUGUCUGGUGGGUAGUUUGACUGGGGCGGUCUCCUCCUAAAGAGUAACGGAGGAGCACGAAGGUUGGCUAAUCCUGGUCGGACAUCAGGAGGUUAGUGCAAUGGCAUAAGCCAGCUUGACUGCGAGCGUGACGGCGCGAGCAGGUGCGAAAGCAGGUCAUAGUGAUCCGGUGGUUCUGAAUGGAAGGGCCAUCGCUCAACGGAUAAAAGGUACUCCGGGGAUAACAGGCUGAUACCGCCCAAGAGUUCAUAUCGACGGCGGUGUUUGGCACCUCGAUGUCGGCUCAUCACAUCCUGGGGCUGAAGUAGGUCCCAAGGGUAUGGCUGUUCGCCAUUUAAAGUGGUACGCGAGCUGGGUUUAGAACGUCGUGAGACAGUUCGGUCCCUAUCUGCCGUGGGCGCUGGAGAACUGAGGGGGGCUGCUCCUAGUACGAGAGGACCGGAGUGGACGCAUCACUGGUGUUCGGGUUGUCAUGCCAAUGGCACUGCCCGGUAGCUAAAUGCGGAAGAGAUAAGUGCUGAAAGCAUCUAAGCACGAAACUUGCCCCGAGAUGAGUUCUCCCUGAGACUUAGAGUCUCCUGAAGGAACGUUGAAGACGACGACGUUGAUAGGCCGGGUGUGUAAGCGCAGCGAUGCGUUGAGCUAACCGGUACUAAUGAACCGUGAGGCUUAACCUUACAACGCCGAAG
rnacentral:rRNA from 2 species